UGUUAAUGCUAAUCGUGAUAGGGGUUUUUACCUCUGAAUGACUCCUACAUGUUAGCAUUAACA
ensembl:miRNA